rnacentral:rRNA from 1 species
ACUGCUCAGUAACACGUGGAUAACAUGCCCUUAGGUGGGGGAUAAUCUCGAGAAAUUGAGGAUAAUACCCCAUAGGUCAUAGAUGCUGGAAUGCUUUAUGGCCCAAAGUUCCGGCGCCUAAGGAUUGGUCUGCGGCCUAUCAGGUAGUAGUGGGUGUAACGGACCCACUAGCCGAUGACGGGUAUGGGCCUUGAGAGAGGGAGCCCAGAGAUGGAAUCUGAGACACGAUUCCAGGCCCUACGGGGCGCAGCAGUCGCGAAAACUUCACACUGGGGGCAACCCCGAUGAGGGAAUUCCUAGUGCCAGCACAUUGUGUUGGCUUUUCUUAAGUGUAGAUAGCUUAAGGAAUAAGGGCUGGGUAAGACGGGUGCCAGCCGCCGCGGUAAUACCCGCAGCCCAAGUGGUGGUCGAUAUUAUUGAGUCUAAAACGUUCGUAGCCGGUCCGGUAAAUCCCUGGGUAAAUCGGUGAGCUUAACUCACCGACUUCCGGGGAGACUGCCGGACUUGGGACCGGGAGAGGCUAGAGGUACUUCUGGGGUAGGGGUAAAAUCCUGUAAUCCUAGAAGGACCACCGGUGGCGAAGGCGUCUAGCUAGAACGGAUCCGACGGUGAGGGACGAAGCCCUGGGUCGCAAACGGGAUUAGAUACCCCGGUAGUCCAGGGUGUAAACGCUGCAGACUUGGUGUUGGAGACCCUUUGGGGGUGUUCAGUGCCGGAGAGAAGUUGUUAAGUCUGCUACUUGGGGAGUACGUCCGCAAGGAUGAAACUUAAAGGAAUUGGCGGGGGAG